ensembl:lncRNA
AACCUGAGCCAUUCUGUGAUUCUAUGAGUCUAUUAUUCUGUGGUAAGAUGCAGCAGACCCAGGUCCCCAGGGCACACUGCUGGCUCCCAGCUAAUGGUGUCGGAACAACCCCCUGAGCCCUGCCCCAGUGCCCUGUGUGCCAGGAAUGCUCGUGUUCCUUUGGCAAUCAGGCAUAAUUCCUGCAGCGAAGGCUGUUGUUCCUAGAGUGCUGCGCUCAGAUGGAUGGCAGUGAGGCUGCAGGGAACUCCAAUUUGCAUUAACUCACUGAUUGCUGGCGCUUAAUGAGGAACACGUAGCUUUGAAGCUGCAGUGGUUGUACUGGCUGACAGGGAAGUUGUAGAUAAAACUUUUUUGGGGCCGGGGUGGGGGUGGGAAUUUGCCACUGAUUUACAAAUUAAACCCUGCUUUCUGAAAUCCAAGUACCAAAUGCAUGAGAUCACCAACCAGGUGCAUUAUUUCAAACAUUCCAUGUAGACACUUGCAACACCUAAACAAUUUUUUUUUCUGGCUUGCAAGUGGGAAGGCAAAUAGGGACUGUAAGAAAGGGACAGACAAGGGGAAAUGGCUUCAGACUACAAGAGGGGAGAUUGAGGCUGGAGAUAAGGAAGAAGGUUUGGCACUGAGGGCAGUGAGGCAGUGGCACAGGUUGCCCAGAGAGGUGGUGGUGCCCCGUCCCUGCAGACAGCCAAGGUCAGGCUGGACGGGGCUCUGAGCACUGCUGGAGCUGUGGCUGUCCCUGUGCACUGCAGGGAGUGGCACCAGGCGGCCUCUGAGGGUCCCUUCCAACUCAAACCUUUCUUCUAUUCUGUGAUUAGAAUAGAAAAGAAAGGCAAAGGAAAACCACCAGAAUGCACAGCACACGGAGCAAAGC